GAAUUUCCGUUUCCGGUGGUGUCCAAUCCGACCUGAGGAGUCACAGUUGUGAGCAAGUUCGGUGCCGCGGGCUGGGAUUAGAAUUACUUGUUAUUGGUAAAUAGCCACUAUGGAGACUAAGGACCAGAAGAAACAAAGAAAGAAAAAUAGUGGACCCAAAGCUGCAAAGAAAAAGAAGCGGCAUCUGCAGGAUCUCCAGCUAGGAGACGAAGAAGAUGCCUGGAAGAGAAAUCCCAAAGCUUUUGCAUUUCAGUCUGCUGUGUGGAUGGCUCGAUCCUUUCACAGGACUCAGGAUUUGAAGACAAAAAAGCAUCAUAUUCCAGUGGUUGAUCGAACUCCACUAGAGCCCCCACCAAUAGUGGUAGUGGUGAUGGGGCCUCCAAAGUUGGAAAGAGCACUUUGAUACAAUGCCUCAUUCGGAACUUCACCCGGCAGAAGUUGACCGAGAUCAGAGGCCCUGUGAUGAUCGUGUCAGGUAAAAAGCUCCGACUCACCAUUAUUGAAUGUGGGUGUGACAUUAACAUGAUGAUUGAUCUGGCUGAAGUAGCAGAUCUGGUACUGAUGCUUAUAGAUGCCAGCUUUGGGUUUGAAAUGGAAACGUUUGAGUUUCUAAACAUCUGUCAAGUACAUGGCUUUCCUAAAAUUAUGGGAGUUCUCACCCACCUCGACUUCUUCAAACACAAUAAGCAACUGAAGAAGACAAAGAAGCGAUUAAAACACAGGUUCUGGACAGAAGUUUACCUGGUUGCCAAGCUGUUCUGCCUUUCUGGAAUGGUGCAUGGAGAAUAUCAAAACCAAGAAAUGCACAAUCUGGGCCAUUUUAUUACAGUUAUGAAGUUUAGGCCUCUCACAUGGCAGACUUCUCAUCCUUAUAUCCUGGCAGACAGGGUGGAAGAUUUGACAAACCCAGAGGAUAUCCAAACAAACAUCAGAUGUGACCAGCAGAUGUUACUUUACGGUUAUUUAAGAGGAGCGCACUUGAAAAAUAAAAGCCAAAUUCACAUGCCAGGACGAGGUGGGGCCCACCCAUGAGCUGGUCCAGAGUCUCAUCUCCACCCACUCCACCAUUGAUGCCAAGAUGGCUUCAAGUCGAGUGAUGUUGUUUUCUGAUUCCAAGCCACUUGGGUCAGAGGCUAUAGAUAAUCAAGGGGACGAGUUCUCACUAUGUUGCCCAGGCUGGCCUCGAACUCCUGGGCUCAAGCAAUCCUCCUGCGUUGGCCUCCCAAAGUCCUGGGAUUACAGGUGUAAGCCACUACGGCUGGCCUAUUAUUGCUGUAUUCUAACUUAUUCAUCUCCUAUGUGUCAGAGAUGGCUUUGGAUUCCCCGUUCUGUGUGCUGCUGUCUGGCUCCUGAACCCAGCUGUAGAGGUGUGUCAAUCCCAACUGGUGAAGUACUGAGAGGAAGCUACACAAAAGGCAGCAAAGUAUUAGUGAGUGGUGUCAUUGAGCAAACACGAAGUCGGGCUCAUCCAAGGAUGAGAUUUUGCCAGAGAAAGGACGAGCAGCAAGUCAGGGAGCUUAAGGAUGGAGUCUUGCUCUGUUGUCCAGGCAGGAGUGCCAUGGCACGAUCUUGGCUCACUGCAGUCUCUGCCUCUUGAGUUCCAGUAAUUCUCCUGCCUCAGCCUCCUGAGUAGCUGGGAUUACAGGCAUGCACCACCACACCCAGCUAAUUUUUGUAUUUUUAGUAGAGACAGGAUUUCACUACAUUAGCUAGGCUGGUCUCAAACUCCUGACCUCAGUUGAUCCACCUGCCUUGGCCUCCCAAAGUACUAGGGUUACAAGUGUGAGCCACCAUGCCCAGCUGAGAUCUGAUGGUUUUAUACAUGUUUGACAGUUGCUCCUUCACAUGUUGCCACUCUCUGUGCGGCCACCAUGUAAGUCGGACCUGCCCUUCUGCCAUGAUUGUAAGUUUCCUGAGGCCUCCCCAGCCAUGUGAAACUGAGUCAAUUAAACCUCUUCCC